AUUGAACGCUGGCGGCAGGCCUAACACAUGCAAGUCGAACGAGUGGCGGACGGGUGAGUAAUGUCUGGGAAACUGCCUGAUGGAGGGGGAUAACUACUGGAAACGGUAGCUAAUACCGCAUACCAUCAGAUGUGCCCAGAUGGGAUUAGCUUGUUGGUGGGGUAACGGCUCACCAAGGCGACGAUCCCUAGCUGGUCUGAGGGGAUGAACGGCCACACUGGAACUGGGACACGUUCCAGAUCACUACGGAGGGCAGCAGUGGGAAAUAUGGCACAAGGGGGGCAAGCCUGAGGCAGCCAUGCCGGGUGUAUGAAGAAGGCCUUCGGGUUGUAAAGUACUUUCGGCGGGGAGGCGUUACCCGCAGAAGAAGCACCGGCUAACUCCGUGCCAGCAGCCGCGGUAAUA
rnacentral:rRNA from 1 species